GAUGGGUGCAGAUGCAGCUGCUGAAAAACCCUCCUGCUUCUUCCAAGGGUCUCUGAUGACUGAAUCACACACAUGCCAUUUCUGUCUGAAAAUU